UUACCUCAGUAACGGCGAGUGAAGCGGUAACAGCUCAAAUUUGAAAGCUGCCAACAGGCCGCGUUGUAAUUUGUAGAAGAUGCUUUGGGUGUUGGCCUAGUCUAAGUUCCUUGGAACAGGACGUCAUAGAGGGUGAGAAUCCCCGUAUGUGAUUAGUGCCUUCCCCCGUGUAAAGCUCUUUCGACGAGUCGAGUUGUUUGGGAAUGCAGCUCAAAAUGGGUGGUAAAUUUCAUCUAAAGCUAAAUAUUGGCCAGAGACCGAUAGCGCACAAGUAGAGUGAUCGAAAGAUGAAAAGCACUUUGGAAAGAGAGUUAAACAGUACGUGAAAUUGUUGAAAGGGAAGCGCUUGCAAUCAGACUUGCGGGCGGGUGAUCAUCCGAGGUUCUCCCCGGUGCACUCAUCUGUUCUCAGGCCAGCAUCGGUUUCGGUGGUGGGAUAAAGGCUGCGGGAAUGUGGCUCUUCGGAGUGUUAUAGCCCGCGGUGCAAUGCCGCCUACUGGGACCGAGGACCGCGCUUCGGCUAGGAUGCUGNCGUAAUGGUUGUAAGCGACCCG
rnacentral:rRNA from 1 species